rnacentral:rRNA from 1 species
UAAUACGGAGGGUGCAAGCGUUAUCCGGAUUCACUGGGUUUAAAGGGUGCGUAGGCGGGCAGAUAAGUCAGUGGUGAAAUCUCUAGGCUUAACCUAGAAACUGCCGUUGAUACUAUUUGUCUUGAAUAUCAUGGAGGUAAGCGGAAUAUGUCAUGUAGCGGUGAAAUGCUUAGAUAUGACAUAGAACACCGAUAGCGAAGGCAGCUUACUACAUGUUCAUUGACGCUGAGGCACGAAAGCGUGGGGAGCAAACAGGAUUAGAUACCCUGGUAGUCCACGCCCUAAACGAUGGAUACUCGACAUCAGCGAUAUACUGUUGGUGUCUGAGCGAAAGCAUUAAGUAUCCCACCUGGGAAGUACGACCGCAAGGUUG